rnacentral:misc_RNA from 1 species
GUAACUAUUAAGUUGUGUCUGACGCUGAUUGCAAUUACAUAGGGUUUUGUAAUGUCCUAGCGGCGAGCAAGCUCGCCGAGGAAACAAGUAGUACGCAAAAGACACGGGUAGAAUAUCCAGAAAGACGAGGCCAAAGGAGAUGGGUUGCAACUCCCCUGGCCAGGACUUCCCGUAAUAUGUGUAAUGAUCCUUCCGCAGGUUCACCUACGGAAA